CCUACGGGUGGCUGCAGUGAGGAAUAUUGGUCAAUGGGCUUACGCCUGAACCAGCCAAGUCGCGUGAGGGAAGACUGCCCUAUGGGUUGUAAACCUCUUUUGUCAGGGAGCAACGCCGGCUACGUGUAGCCUUACUGAUAGUCCCUGAAGAAAAAGCAUCGGCUAACUCCGUGCCAGCAGCCGCGGUAAUACGGAGGAUGCGAGCGUUAUCCGGAUUUAUUGGGUUUAAAGGGUGCGUAGGCGGAAUGCCAAGUCAGCGGUAAAAUCGCGGGGCUCAACCUCGCUCCGCCGUUGAUACUGGCGGUCUUGAGUGGGCGAGAGGUAGGCGGAAUGCGUGGUGUAGCGGUGAAAUGCAUAGAUAUCACGCAGAACUCCGAUUGCGAAGGCAGCAUACCGGAGCCCAACUGACGCUGAAGCACGAAAGCGUGGGUAUCGAACAGGAUUAGAUACCCGGGUAGUC
rnacentral:rRNA from 1 species